rnacentral:rRNA from 1 species
CGGUAGCGGGCAACCUGCCCUGUACUGGGGAAUAAUCAUUGGAAACGAUGACUAAUACCGCAUGUGGUCCUCGGAAGGCAUCUUCUGAGGAAGAAAGGAUUUAUUCGGUACAGGAUGGGCCCGCAUCUGAUUAGCUAGUUGGUGAGAUAACAGCCCACCAAGGCGACGAUCAGUAGCCGACCUGAGAGGGUGAUCGGCCACAUUGGGACUGAGACACGGCCCAA